CCCCACUCAACACACACCAUCAUCCUCACUCAACAGACACACGAAAGAGUGAAGAAAUCAGAAAGCUAAGGGGGAGAACGGGAAGAAGAAGAGAUGAGAGGGAAGGAAGGAGAGAACGACGGCGGCUAACUGGCUAGGGCUCUGCCGUCGUCGUCGUCGAAUGCCAGUGAGAGAGAGAGAGCUCGAGGAAGAGAGAAAACGCAAUGGAGGAAAGAAGAAAAGGGUGCUCUAUCGCCGCUGAAGCUCAACCGCCGCUGCUAGUGCUUGUUGUCGUCGCCGUUCUGCCACCGCCAGGCUGAUGUACCGCUGUCGAGGAUCUUGAAGGGAUGUCUCGCCGCCGUUGUGCUCUGUCGCCGCGCUAUCGUCGACUGGAGCUCGCUGCUGAGCUGCUGCACCAUCUCCAAGCCGUUGCGUCACCGCUCAUCUCUUCUUCACCGUCGCCGCUCAUCACCGUUGUUGAUGAACAUGCAUGGUUCAACUUGAAUACCCCUUUUUUUUCCUAAUUCUCGCUAAACCCCGUUACCCAGUUUUCGUAUGCACCUGCUACCCUCUACGGUGUUGGAGUUCCUUCAAGCUGAGCUCGAGCUUCAGAGGGAAGAGAAGAAUUGUUUGUAGUGUUACCGAGCCACAUUCAGAUCCUGAGGGUGACAAUGAGGAGUCUAACUCAACUGUGUCAUCAUUUGGAUUAUGAAACAGAUCUUGUGGAUGUGAAGUGUUGGAGUUGGCACAAUGAGGUUGUUGGAGUUUGGGUGCCUGGUUGCAGUUCUAUGUGGUCUUCUUGUGUCUGUGAAAACUGAGAUUUACAUCGUAACUAUUGAAGGUGAACCUGUUACUAGUUAUGGAGGUGGAAUUGAUGGUUUUAAAGCUACUGUUGUUGAAUCUGAUGAGAAGAUUAAUACCAAUAGGACAUGGAUUUGUUGUUGGAGAUGAAGGGUACAGGCAGGACUGUGACAUUCAGAAAGUUAAGCUUUCAAGGGAGGCAUUGACACAGCUCUCCAAGUUAGUUGAGUCCAGAGUUAGUACAGGCAGAUCCAGAACUUGAAACAUCAGUUCUUUCAGUUUGGUAAGUUUUAUAACAUAGCAUAACUUUUCUUGUUAGAAAUCUAAGUCAGAUUUUUCUUGUGCAGUCUCGAUACGAUCUUAACACUAUUCUAUUCCUUUUGGAAUUGGGGCUGCUGCCAGGUUAGAUUAAACACUAUCUACCAUAAAUCUUCUGUUUGCAUAUCUAGAGGCUGUGGAUGGCAGCACUUUGGGCCUUUCAUAAAUCUAGGAGCAUUCUACCGAUGUGGGAUUUCACUUGCUGCAACAUUGGAAUUUUGGGUCAAAUUAAGAGCUUCUAUUUACACCAAUCCUGAAUGGAAAAGCACUUUUGUAUUCAGUGGUAUCAACUCUUGAGGUGAGAAUAGGAAUCGCCUUUGGAAGCGGUGGAAGCCAGUCACUUCCCGCCACUGAAUGGCCCAGUGUUUCUUCUUGUCUGGAAAAGCUUUUUACUGACACUUUGGUUAAGACCAUGGUGGAAGAAGCUUUUUACUUUGCUUGCUAGUUAUUUGAUGAAGAAGGUUGUUGGUGGCAGUAUAUAUAUUAGAGUGAUUUUGGCUAGUAAACUUUCAAGGAGUUGCUUCAAGGGGGUGGGGGGAUCUAGGAGGCCUCAAAAUGGUACAACCAAUUUCUCGGUGGACAAUUUUGAUGACAAGGACCUACAAACAUUUGUCGAGGUAGAAGUUGGGGACUUAAUCAGGAGAACAGAUGUCAGACUUGGAUCAACCCCUCGAUGGAAUGCACCAUUUAAUAUGGUUUUACAUGUUGGAAACCUUCAUUUCAAUCUUUAUGAGCCUCAUCCCAACAAUAUCAAGUGUGACUACCUAGCAAGUUAUGAAAACAAGACUGGAAUAAUUUCCCCAAGUAAACUGAGGAUGAAGCUUAUAGGUCACAGAAAGAAGGAUGGAUCCAACAGUAACUCAUCCAGAACUUUUCCUUCCAGAAUUGAUAAUGCUGAAUUUGUCAACAGUUUACUACCCUCUAACAAUGGCAACCCUGACGAUGAAAGUCUGCAUUUCAUUUCUUUCUAUUUCUUGUGUGUAUAUGAUGGAUGGCAAUGACUUCAUUAAUUCCUUAAUUCCAGUUACAUCUCCCAGCUUAGAAGUUCCCUCGUUAAAGACUCAGUAUGAACCAAAGGGAAACGGUGACACCGGCCUUACCAAGAUACAACAUCUUCAAAAGGCUGAUGGUGGAAGUUCAAGCACUAUUCACCCGGUGAGAACAAUAGAAAAGGAGAAUCUUGAUUAUGAUAGUAAUGCUAGCUCAUCCAGCUUGAUUUUUAAUAGUCCCUCCUAGAAAAAUGCUCUUUAGGCCAAAUUUUGAGAUGGAUAAUUGAUUUAGAAUAUGUUUAAUUUAGUGGGUAUGUUUAAUUUAGUGUGAGAUGUAUAAAUAUUGAAAAUUAUGUUCAUUCUAAUACUUUUGGUUCGUUAUAAAUAUAUUUUUUGUUGAAAGA